rnacentral:snRNA from 1 species
GUGCUCAUUUCAGUAGCACACAUACUAAAAUUGGAAUGAUACAGAGAAGAUUAGCAUGACCCCUGCACAAGGAUGACACGCAAAUUCGUGAAGCGUUCCAUUAAAAA